rnacentral:lncRNA from 1 species
CUGGCCGGCACGAGUUACCGCACGAGACGAGUUUCGGAUCGGGACGAGUUUCGUACCGUUUCGACGCGCACCGUUUCGACGCGUAGACGCGAACCGUUUCGACGCGUAGACGCGUACCGUUUCGACGCGCACCGCUUCGACGCGCACCGUUUCGACGCCCACCGCUUCGACGCGACGCGUAGACGCAAACCGUUACCGUUUCGACGCGCACCGCUUCGACGUGCACCGCUUCGGCCCGCACCGGUUCGACGCGCACCGGUUCGACGCGCACCGCUUCGACGCGCACCGCUUCGACGCGCACCGCUUCGACGCG